rnacentral:tRNA from 6 species
GGAGAGAUGGCCGAGUGGUUGAUAGCUCCGGUCUUGAAAACCGGUAUGGUUCUGAACAAAGAACUAUCGAGGGUUCGAAUCCCUCUCUCUCCU